CACUCCUACGGGAGGCAGCAGUGGGGAAUUUUGGACAAUGGGCGAAAGCCUGAUCCAGCAAUGCCGCGUGAGUGAAGAAGGCCUUCGGGUUGUAAAGCUCUUUUGUCAGGGAAGAAACGGUGAAAGCUAAUAUCUUUUGCUAAUGACGGUACCUGAAGAAUAAGCACCGGCUAACUACGUGCCAGCAGCCGCGGUAAUACGUAGGGUGCAAGCGUUAAUCGGAAUUACUGGGCGUAAAGCGUGCGCAGGCGGUUUUGUAAGUCUGAUGUGAAAUCCCCGGGCUCAACCUGGGAAUUGCAUUGGAGACUGCAAGGCUAGAAUCUGGCAGAGGGGGGUAGAAUUCCACGUGUAGCAGUGAAAUGCGUAGAUAUGUGGAGGGACACCGAUGGCGAAGGCAGCCCCCUGGGUCAAGAUUGACGCUCAUGCACGAAAGCGUGGGGAGCAAACAGGAUUAGAAACCCCGGUAGUCCCAUGA
rnacentral:rRNA from 1 species